rnacentral:rRNA from 1 species
UACGUAGGGUGCAAGCGUUAAUCGGAAUUACUGGGCGUAAAGCGUGCGCAGGCGGUUAUGUAAGACAGUUGUGAAAUCCCCGGGCUCAACCUGGGAAUUGCAUCUGUGACUGCAUAGCUAGAGUACGGUAGAGGGGGAUGGAAUUCCGCGUGUAGCAGUGAAAUGCGUAGAUAUGACGGAGGAACACCGAUGGCGAAGGCAAUCCCCUGGACCUGUACUGACGCUGACAUGCACGAAAGCG